rnacentral:rRNA from 1 species
UCCACCUACGGGGCGCAGCAGUGAGGAAUAUUGGUCAAUGGGGGAAACCCUGAUGCAGCGAUGCCGCGUGAGUGAAGAAGUAUUUCGGUAUGUAAAGCUCUAUCAGCAGGGAAGAAAAAAGACGGUACCUGACUAAGAAGCCCCGGCUAACUACGUGCCAGCAGCCGCGGUAAUACGUAGGGGGCAAGCGUUAUCCGGAUUUACUGGGUGUAAAGGGAGCGUAGACGGCGCGGCAAGUCUGAAGUGAAAGGCAGGGGCUUAACCCCUGAACUGCUUUGGAAACUGCCAUGCUAGAGUGCUGGAGG